GUGGUCUCCAACCCAGUCCUCAAGGACCACCAGCAGUCCAGAAUUUAUGUAUUUACCUGUUUUGUUCCUAUGGAGAUACUGACAAUACCUGGACUGUUGGUGGUCCAUGAGGACUGGAUUGGGGACCA